AGUGAUUUUUGUAAACUACGCUUUCGAGGAACCCAUUCGUAAUGGCAUUCAAAACAAUACAAUUGAAUCAAAACAAUUAACUAAUUUUAAGUUGUUUUACGUCAAGAAUUGGUAUAACUAAUUAAAAUGAAAUCGUAUAAUUUAUCAGAUGUUACCUAUACCUAUAAUUAUACAGAUAACUAUAUUUUAUUGGUGGAAAUGAUGGAAGUUUGAUUUAUAUCAGUUAU